UUAAAUAUGUGGUAAUAGCGCCAUCUAGUGGUUAAUUUUGGGAAUGCACCGACACAGUAUUUCAUCUAAAUCGUUUGACAGAUAUUAAUCGUAUCUCAUUUUCAUUAUUGGUUCAGAGACAGACAAUGCAGAACAUCAACAUGUGUACAUCUGAAUCCGAUGAUGAUUUGCCAAGUUAUCAAACGACCCAUGUAAUCACAAAUACAGAGAAUUUCGAUUCGGUUGAAGAUAGCCCAUUUGGUUUAGAUUUCAGCAUUAUACCCGAUUUUACUAAUAUUUUGGAAUUGGCUCCAGCCUAUUCCACAAAAAUGGAUGAUGCGACGGCUGACGGUAUUCUACGGGACAUAUUGAACAAACCUGAAUAUUGUCACAACGCCGCUAUAGAGACCAGCAGUGUUGUUGAUGAGCGACCGUUUUCCCCCCACGCGACAGGGGGUCGGGCUA